UGUCAGUUUGUGUUGUGAGAUUUUGGGUUAAAUCCUGUAACGAGCGCAACCCUUGUUCCAUGUUGCCAGCACGUAAUGGUGGGGAUUCAUGGGAGACUGCCGGGGUCAACUUGGAGGAAGGUGGGGAUGACGUCAAGUCAUCAUGCCCCUUAUGUCCAGGGCUUCACACAUGCUACAAUGGCCGGUACAAAGGGCUGCUAAGCCGUGAGGUGGAGCGAAUCCCAUAAAGCCGGUUUCAGUUUGGAUCGGGGUUUGCAACUCGACCCCGUGAAGUCGGAGUCGCUAGUAAUCGCAGAUCAGCAACGCUGCGGUGAAUACGUUCCCGGGCCUUGUACACACCGCCCGUCACGUCACGAAAGUCGGUAACACCCGAAGCCCGUGGCCCAACUCUUAGGGGAGGGAGCGGUCGAAGGUGGGACUGGCGAUUGGGACGUUGGAA
rnacentral:rRNA from 1 species